UGUUAUAAGAGUAGUUAUAUUUAUAUACCUCUAUAAUUUUGAUUUAGAAAAAAAAUAAAAUGCUUAUAAUAUGAAGAGGGUGUAGUGCUUAGGUUCCAGAAUCCAGCUAGGAACUGGAGCAGGUACCGAGGCAUCAGCACAAGAAAUAUGGAUAGUUUGUGGCUGCUGGACUGCUGGUGCUGGAUGAAUAAUUAUUUUUCCCCUGGAAAAGGACAUUGGUUUGGUCACAUCCAUGUGAUUUUUUUUUUCAAAAUUGUACUUUACUGCGUUUAAUUUUUUUUGGGCGAAAACUAACACGGUUGAUAUGGAUUGUUUUUUUUUCUCUCUUCAAAACAGUACUUUAUUGCGCUUGAUUUUUUUUUGGCAAAAACUAACACGGUUAAUAUGAUAUGGAGUGCUUGCGGUGGAAUGGAAUGACCAUGGCGCCACGCUGGGUGCAGUUGCCAUAUUUGUUCGUAGCGGCUUAAAAGUUAACGCUAAAAAAACUACAUUAAAAAUAUAUUAAAAUGCUUUGCAAAAAAAGAUUAAAAUUAAGUUUAAAAUUCAAAUUUAAGAUUUUGCUUUAACUUAUUAGGCCAAUGAGGUGCGGGCUCACCGGCCGCCGGCGAAGACAAGAGAGUGCUCCACGAGUUCACGGUAGGACGAUUUACGUGCGGCCCAUUUUUGUUGGGCCGUAACUGGAUUGUAACUAGAAUGCGGCCCAUAAUAGUUGGUCCAGGACGGGAUUUCGAUUACGUGAGGCCCAAAUAUGGGAUUAGUUGAGUAGGGCAAGGGCCCAAGACUUGGCCCAAUUGCCACAGGCACCGUCUCGUCGUCUCCGUGGCGACAGCGCCGCCGCUGCUCUGUCGCCGGCGGCCAGCGCAACCGCCGCCUCUUCGGCUCGCCGGCGGCGCGCGGGGACUCGAGGAAGGCCUCUGCGUCGCCGUCACUACUACCCAUAGCUCGAUUGCAGACGAUGGGGAUUCUCAAACUAUACAUACUAGUUCUGAUAGAGACAAAUUUGCACAUGAUUUUCACGAAUUUGAGUAGUGACCAUCAUUCAGAAUGCUCAAUCUGCACACCUGAGUUGUGGCAGCUAGAUUCUUGUCUUCAACUCUGUUCAUAGAGUUGGAAAAUUAAUAUGCCUUGAAGAGAUCUUA